rnacentral:tRNA from 1 species
UGACCGGUAUAGUCGGCUGGCGCCGGCCGCGGGCUUCAACCCCGCCGGGCAACCGUGAAAAGUCUGCCGCUUGGUUCGAUUCCAAGACCGGUCU